GUCUACGGCCAUGCCACCCUGAACGUGUCUGAGCUCAUCAGAUCUCCGAAGCUAAGCAGGGUUGGGCUUGGUAAGCACUUGGAUGGGAAACCACCUAGGAUUACCAGGUGCUGUAGGCG
rnacentral:rRNA from 1 species